rnacentral:lncRNA from 1 species
ACCAAUAUGCUAGCAACUAGAAUCAGAGUGGGAACUUCUAAAGUAAGAGGGAUUAUAGGAUCACCUCGGUUGACUUCUUCGCUUUAUUCAACUUUGCCCGAGUUGCUAGAGAGGCCAAGCAAACUUGCACUAUAAGUAUUGGGAGUGGAUUUUUGCUCGUUCGAUCAAGAGCUUGGGCAAUCCGUGCAUUCUCACUAAGCUCUUCACUUAACUCCUCCAAGAUGGUCUUACAACAUUGGGAAACUCGUUCGCGGAUGCGUAAGAGUGGGAGCCUAACUUGACUAAGUCUGUCAGCUCGGUGAUGGAUGAUAUGACGAUACACUAGGACGUAAUUUAGCAGAUCAGCUACUUUUUGAGUCUUGCCGCAGUUAUUAACCGCUUUGAUAUCAGCAGUGCAUUGAUUAGACCUUUUUUCAGAACCUGCUAUUAAACCCUAAAACAAGUCAAUUGAGAUGAAAAGCGUUAGAUUGGUAGUAUACAAGCUACAAGUGUUGUAAAUCUACAUGAUCAAGGUUCAAAAAUAUAUAAAGUGUAAGACUAAGUACUCACGAGCGGGGACAUAUCCAUUAUACCGAGGGAAGGACCAUAGGCCAUCAUCGCCAACUCAGAACGCCCAGUUCCUCGAGACUUAGACGAACUCAUUUAAGUACAUGUCUUUGUCCAGGGCGUCGGUGACCAACCGUGUUUGGGGUUGAUGAGGCUUUCGCAAUUGGAGAUAGUGGUUGUCGGUGUACAUUCGUGCCUGGGAUUCACUCCUUGGAUGCACUACGCAAUAUACAUGCAGUAAGUUUGAGGCAUUGAAGGGUAGCCCCUCCUUCUACAUCAAUGCGUCCACCGGGAGCACGGUCAGGACGAAAUUUACAGACAUUUACAUGAAAGUGAGAUGGCACCGAACCAUAACUUCCUUUAGUAGAGGGCUAAUGGAGAACCUAAGACCUGCUUGGUGAAUCAACCAAAUGCUGACCGAGAUACGGUUCCCAUCUCCUUAACGGUAUUAGCCUCCUCCAUGGGCCUCACCUCUCUAUCGCAAUGUCAUUCGGGAUAUUAUGUUUUUUCCUAAACUUUUCCAUGGCAGCGUUGUCAUGCAUUAAUAGUUGAGCUCGGUUCAACUCCAUGUUCUGAAAUCAAAACAACACAGUAAGAACAAACUCAACUAAGUAGUAACGGGCAAUUGAGCGUGGAGUUAGCCGGGCUCCCCAUGAGCCCCGAGCUUCGAACCACGAGGUACAUUCAUUUGGAAAAAGUUAGCCGAGCUCCCCACGAGCUCUGAGCUCUACCCAUGAGGUACAUCUACAUUUUAUUUAAGAACUUCUCAAGUCCUCCUACCACCUUAAAAUCACCUCGGAAGCAGGAGAACUUGAAGGGACAAAAUCUUAACUCUACAACAGAUAUUCUCAAUUUUUUUUUACAAAACUACAAGGGCAGCUCGAACCAGUUCCAUUAAAGAAAUUGGGUUAGGGGUAACCCGAAUCACAGAAAAUCAGAAAGCUUGGAAACUUAUCAAUGGAAGACGAGCGAAACUGGAAAUCAACACAAACAGGCUCCAACAGACUUGGAUUCCAACAGAAUAUGGCAGUAAGACAUUCCAAAACCAAACCCGAAAUCAUAAAAUGCAGACCCAGACAGUCAAAUAGAAGUAGAGGUAUCGCGGUCAUCUAAGCAAAAAAAAUUCCUAAAAAAUGUGAUAAACUCCGAAUAAAAUACUUACAGAGACGAUUUGGGGGCAGUUGGAAGAAGGAAUGCGUUCAUCGAAGUACAAUUAGUAGUCUUUGGCCAAUGGUCGGACGGCAACAACAGAUCUCUGACACGCUCUCUCUCUCUAUAAAUGCUCUCAAAGAUGAAGAUGCAGUGAAUAACCAAAGCCCAUCAAUUUAUAGGAAGCCCAAAAGGUGGGUUUCCUACCAAACACAACCUUAGGGCGCUUCGACUCCUGCCAACUUUCACUGCUGGCCAAUCGGGCUAAUCAGGCGCUUCUUUACCGAAAACACGACAGACAUCCAGCUCACAUGACAUCGGUCGGCAUUGAUCCAGCUUAUGCAAAUUGAGGGGCAAUUGUAAGGGGAUAAAAUACACAAGUACCAACCCUGGCCGAUCUAGGAUAGGCACCGUUGUUGAGUUGUUACUAUUCAGUAAGCUCGAGCGGAGUCCCUGCGUCGAAGCUCAGGCUAGGAGCAAUGGUCGGCGGGAAUCUCGAGAACAUGACGCAGACAGAAGAUAACUUCACCGCGAAGUAAUCUCUGGCACCCGCACUUUCGGAUUUCGACUUUGGCGACGUGACAGGCUUGCCAUGUCUCAGGGACAUAAUUGAGUCAGUCGCCUACUCACUGACACAACAGUCGCGCAUUCAAACACACGCCGAGUGACAAGACGAUUAGCGCGUCCAGGCACACACUUAACUAUGUUAUAUAAGGCCAUCCUCUUAUUCUCUCAAAAGUAUGCUCAUUUAGCCCAUUUCAGCUAGCUUGCACUUUUUCUCUCUACCUUAUAUUUUCGGUCACUUGACUUGACCGUCGAAAAAAUAUUUUUCAGAAACAACUCCGGCGGCCGAACUUGCUAUUUUUGCCUUGCAAAGAACAUGUGAAACCAGACGCUACCGUCAACCGUAAGUGUCUAUUUUCGAUUUCUUUCCUCGUUUUCUCAAAUACUCACACCCCACAACUACCAAAUAUAGUCUUAACGUUGUGAAGAUAGCAUCCUUUUUAGCUAUUUCAGUAAGAAACUCAAAUACUCACACCCCACAACUACCAAAUAUAGUCUUAACGUUGUGAAGAUAGCAUCCUUUUUAGCUAUUUCAGUAAGAAAAAAUAAUAGUGUUUUGCGGAAAAAAUUCUGUUUUAACUCAAUUUCCCAAAAACAGGUUUGGAGAACAACAAAUCAAACUCCCCAUCUAGGACUGGUAAAAUGAAUCCAAACUGAAGAACAACCCAUGUAAAACCCUUCUAAAUCCACUUAAAUUCGCAAUCCAUUUUAAUCCACCCAAAUCCGUCCAUUUACCACCUAAACCCUUAUCCGUUUUUGUUAUGCUAUAUUUUUUUAAUAGACAUUUAAAAUUUUCAUCCACCAAUGCUUGAUAGUUCUGGUGUGCCGUCAAUCAUAUUCAGUGCACCGCAGUACUGGGACGUAUAUCGCUUUCCAUCACUUUCCCUCAUGCUUUUACAUUUUGAUGUUUCUUUUAAUUUCUUUAGUGCUCCACUGUUAAACCAAGAUGGUGAUAGGUGCCUAAUUUGGGCAUUGAAUUACAAACACAAGUUCAUAACAGCUAAGGACAAAGGUUUUGAAUUGAUGUGAAAUUUUUCGGUGUCUUUGGUGUGAUGGCCUAGGUCUCAUUAAUGACUUGUAUUAUGGAUUAUGUGCAAAGAACCUUAUAGCAUUAAUACUUUAAAUAUGCUAUACUUACUUUAUAGGACAUGCUUCGAUCAUUUUAAUUUAUCAUUUAGUGUGAAAUUAUCUAUAACUGUUAUUUAGCUUGGAAUUAUCUAAAACUGUUAUCUAUAACUAAAUUUUUAUUAGACACAUUGUAUCAGUUCAAUGUUUAUCAAUAUGUCACAUCAAAUAGUAAAUAAAAAAUGAUCAAACAAGAUGAUAAGUAUGAUACUAUUAGUAAUACUUUGAUUAUUACACAUUAACAAUCUAAUCCCCAUGUCCAUCACUUGACAAGUUAAAUUAUGGUGUGCCCUAGGAAUAUUUUGAUAAGAGUCUCAAGUCAUUUCCAUGGGGGUCUCAAUUUAGUUAGAUUAAUUGAACUGGUCAUGAGAAACAUACCAAUAGAUAAAUAAGAAAGGAAAAGGUUUUCAUAAGAGUUAAAAUUAUGAAUUAUCCAAUUAUCCACCUAGUUCUUGAACCUGAAAAUCGACAAAUGUCAGCUUUAGGAAGUAUUGACAUAAUCGAGAAUCGACAAAUUUAAAGAAACUUAAUCAUGUUAUUUACUUACCUUGCGAAUCGAUAGAUAUAUAAGAAGAUAACUUGUUCUUGCGUAUCAAUCUUUUCACUAAGAAUGUUCAGGGGACCCCUCUAAGAACUCUCGUUUUAUAUUAACGAUUUGAAAAUAUUUCUGAAAUUGUUAAGACUCGCACCCAUAAAUUAUAUUGGUUUGCACUCUCCAUUGGUCGAUUUUUACAGUAUAUAAGUGUAAAUUAUUAUCAUACUAAUAUUUUUUCAUUCUUCAUUAUUAGAAGACGUUUCAUUUAUUAUUUUAAACACACGUAUUAUUUACUAUUUUUUGUUAAAAAUUAAUAGUAUAACUUACAUUUAUUCGUCAUUUUAAAAAAAAUAGAAAUCACAUACACCCCUAAACUUAGAUUCUUGACACGCUUUCCUGCAUCAAAAAAUAAAGAAGUAAAGGCAUGAAAUGGAAGGCUUCUUUAUGCAUGAAAUGGAACCAAUUACUACAUGUCUUGAAAUGUUUGCCCGUGUGACCUACACAAUGUUUGGUUAACAUCUACCCAAAGACAUGCAUGUGGACACUGGGGCGACAACGUCCUACCUGGCUUGGCCAUGGUGAGUUGUGACUUGAUGAAAUGCCAUAUCCCCACGAUGAACUUGUGUGUUACCCCCACUUUCCGUUAUUGAAGCACCCACCCCAAUUUUCUACUUCCAUUGAGAAACUAGUGGAGACGAAAAAAAAAAAAAAAGUGAUUAAAUCUCAACUGUUAAAUUUAUUAACUUUUUAAAUUUUUAGGAUAGUUCAGUUUGAUAAAGAUUUUGGUUUGUGUUUAAGGGGUUGGCGGUUCAAGUUCCCUUAGGACAUUAAUUGUUUGCACGGCUGUUAACUUCAAGGUCUCUAGAUCAGUUUAUCUUGAAUUCAAUUGGGUUGGGCAGGUAGCUAUCAAAAAGAAUUCAUUGUCUUUUUUUUCUCCUUUUUUCUCAACUAAAUCUUUAAUCCAAACAAUACUUACGUGAAACAGUCUUGCUAGUCUUAACUGCUAACUAACUUACGUGCGUGUGAAAGAGUAAAAGAUAGUUCAGUGUACGAGGCUCAAGCUAGUUUUGAUAUUUGUGAAGAAUGAGAUGCACAUAUGUAUCCUAAUCUAGCAUAAAGAAAGAAUGUAUCCAUGUUUUGAACCCAUGACACCACAAGUCAUAAGUUGCUUUGUUAUGCCAAGCGAAGGCUGUCUCGAGUCAUCCUGUUUAAAAAACAUUGUAUUAUCUUUUUUUUGAUUAGCCACAGAGUAUCCUAGACAUGCCUUUGGGUCAAUCCAAACUAAUUUAUGUGCCAUAAGUAGUUAACCCUUCAUAUUUUAGGAUGUAAACGCGGAUAUGCGACGCAGUCACUAGGAAUCGAACACGAUACUUCCGAGUGUUAGCUCGUGUACUUGACGUCCGCCCGAAGUGAUUGCGCCUUAUGUCCCGGGAGCGGGGUGAGAAUCGAAUCCAGGACCUAAGUCCUGAUAAGGCCGCCAUUAUCACUUGGGCUAAGCCUUGUUCUCAAAAACAUUGUAUUACUUGUUAGAGCCUUUGUUGAGUUAUGAAAAAAAAGAGAGUAAUAUUCUUAUAACUUGUUACACUAGGGAAGAACUCAUACCGAGUUAACCCAAAAAUGACCCAC